AAAGUACUCCCUCUGUCCCAAAAUUCUUGUCUUAUAUUUGUCUAGAUACGGAUGUAUCAAGUCACAGAUACAUCCGUAUCUAGACAAAUCUAAGACAAGAAAUUUGGGACAAAGGGAGUAGUUG
rnacentral:pre_miRNA from 1 species